rnacentral:rRNA from 1 species
GGAAUUUCCCUAGUUGUACGGUGAAAUGCGUAGAUUAUUGGGAAGAACACCGGGUGCGAAGUCGACUUGCUGGUCGGUAACUGACGCUGAGGUCGAAACCCAGGGGAGCAAACGGGAUUAGAUNACCCCGGUAGUCCUGCCGGUAAACGAUGAAAUCUGGGUGUGUGAGUGGAGAUACUGACGUCACGUAGUUAACGCGAUAAGCAUUCCGCCUGGGGAGUACGGUCGCAAGAUUGAAACUCAAAGGAAUUGACGGGGGCAACGCACAAGCGGUGGAGCACGUGGUUUAAUUCGAUGCAAACCGAAGAACCUUACCUGGGUUUGACAUGUAUGUGGUAGGAACUGGAAACAGAGACGACGCUGCUUUCGGGUAGUGAGCAUACACAGUGCUGCAUGCUGUCGUCAGCUCGUGUUCGUGAGAUGUAGGGUUUAAGUCCAACAACGAGCGCAACCCUAAUCGAUUCCCCUAAGCCANG